rnacentral:rRNA from 1 species
UGGGGAAUAUUGGACAAUGGGCGAAAGCCUGAUCCAGCCAUGCCGCGUGUGUGAAGAAGGUCUUCGGAUUGUAAAGCACUUUAAGUUGGGAGGAAGGGCAGUAAGCUAGUACCUUGCUGUUUUGACGUUACCGACAGAAUAAGCACCGGCCAACUCUGUGCCA